rnacentral:sRNA from 1 species
AAUCGAGAAAUUGAGAAAUCGGGAAAUCGAUAAAUCGGGAAAUCGGGAAGUCGAGAAAGCAAAAACGCGAAAUCGAGAAAUUCAUUUCGCGUUUUCGCUUUUGUGUUUUCACGUUUCUGCUUUCUCGAUUUCUCGAUUUCCCGAUUUCCCUAUUUCUCGAUUUCCCUAUUUGCCUAUUUCUCAAUUUU